UAGCAUAAAUUGAUAGCAUUCUUUUUAAAAUGCUAUUGUAGGGGAGGCAAUAAUAGCAUUCCUGGCAUUGAGAGACACGGACAAAAGGGGAAAGAAAACAACAGCGUCUUCGUUAACUCUACCAUAGCGUUCUACCAAUUUUCGGCGCCACUCUCUUUUCCCUUUUUCCCUCUCUAAAUUUUGGGUGCGAUUUCCCUCAAAAUAUUUCAAUCUCUUCCAAUAUUUCAGUCAUUAGGUCGUCAAGAGGUCUACAGCGUGAGUUCGGUUCAGAUGGGUUUAUCGACAGAUUUGCACUGGUCUUCCUCUCUAUUCACUUUGUAUCAGAUAUCAGCGUGAGUUCGAUUCUUCUGGGUUUCAAUCAAAGAAGCAAACCUGUUGCACCAAUUGAGGCAAAGAAUCAACGAACAGAGAAGCCCUAAAUAGGUGAUUGUGGCAAUGGCGGCAGUAGCGGCGGCUGCAAGUGUGGCUGUUGUUGUGUCCACAAUGGAGCUAAGAUGGAGGACAUACUGCCACGCCCAGGGAUGGAAUAGCUCCCAGGGGUCCAAUAUUGCAUCAAUAGUCCUCCUCCAUGACUGGAAGUCGUAGUUCUCGUGUUCCAGCAUUAUCUGAUGACCCUAGGUACAACUGUCUUGAUUCCAAGUAUGUUUGUAAACCAAAUGGGAGGCAGUAAUGUUGAGAUGGCCAAGGUGAUACAGACCUUACUAUUUGUUUUAGGACUAAAUACACUAAUGCAGUCCUUAUUUGGCACCCGACUUCCCUCAGUAAUCGGUGGUUCAUACGCAUUUGUUAUUCCCAUGACUUCCAUUCUACAUGCUGGAAGAUAUCACUUGUCAUCUCCGGAGCCCAAUGGAGAUUACUGCACAUAUCAUAAGUUUGAAAGGACAAUGAGAGGUAUGUAGGGUGCUCUCAUUGUUGCCUCUUGUUUCCAGAUGCUUAUCGGCUUCUUAGGAGUGUGGAGAAAUGUUGUAAGGUUUCUUACCCCUCUUUCUAUGGUUCCUCUCAUGACUUUUACUGGACUUGGGCUAUACUAUCUUGGUUUUCAAAUGCUGGCAAAGUAUGUCGAAAUUGGGAUCCCCGAGCUAAUUCUAAUGGUUAUCGUCUCACAGGCAAGUAAUUGUUGUUUGUCAACUGCUCAAUGAUGCAUUUGAGAAAGUUUCUUGGUUUUUGGUGUAAAUGCAUCGCUCUGAAGCAAAGUAACUGUACUAACUGACUUUCCAUAUGCAACGGAAAUUUGUGUGAUGAUUUGGCAAUAUCUUCCCCAUUAUGCAAAAGCAAAAACAAAGAGACGUCCACUCAAGCUAGUUGUCGCAUUGAUCGCACUGGCCUCAUUACUAGAGCUCCUUGAUUUAUAUUCCUUAUCCAUUCCAAUGGGGGAGACCUACUUUUCAAGCUGGUGAAGCUUUAACAAUGACGGCUGUUUCUCUUGAGUCUACUGGCACAUUCCUUGCAACAGCAAGAUAUGGGAGUGCUACACCUGUUCCAGCUUCUGUUUUAAAAGGGUAUAAGCAAGAUAAUCUUCAAGUAAAGAAAUCUACAGCCCAGUACAUGAUUACAUUUUCAGGAAAGGGGAAUUACAUUAGUUUUUUUCAAUGAGUCUAAUUAGUCGGACUCUUUUAUGUUAUUUUUUUAUCGUCUCUUUUAUGUACUUUGGGAUAUUGUUUCCCAAGCUAAUGUAAUGAAUCUUUAUUCAAUGGUUAAGUUGUUUAUUGUA